UUGAAUUGGAAUCAUCAGAGAUGAGAGAGGAUGGUAUUGACUCGUCGAGCCACGUUUCUGUCAGUGCAAUUAUAUCGUAAUCAGAUUCUCCCAGAGCUAGACGUAGAUUAUUAAGUUUGGUACGAAUUCCUCUAACGUUCUGAUAAAACACGUGCAGAUGUAAGUUAGAAGAGACAUUCUGGUGAGUAUGAGCCGAACUAUCAUCGAGGCCCACAGCAGUGAUUGGUGCUACGCCAAGGUAUGGUGAGGAGCGGGGUGCCAGCUGAUUAUUAGUACUGUUAUCAACUAUUGCUGGAUUGUUACUUGCUGUCUGUCUGUUGUUGUUUCGGUGCGUAUAGCUUCGGUGGACGGUACUAUUGUGCAAUGUGUGUUCGGUUUCGGUGAUGAGCAAUGAGCGGGGCGAGGACCCGGGGUAGGAUGUGGCAUUGAUGCGUGGUGUGUUAUGAUUUGUCGGCUUCUACGCAUCAGAAUAGAUUCCCAUCCAGACCGCCCCUCCAUAGCAAAGCAGGAAUAUCCGACUAAAUCUCGAAAACAUGACAGGACAGCCUAAAAAGGAUGACUACGUAGGUCGUUACGUCAAAAAGAAGAAGAUUGUGCAGGUUUUUUUGGAAAACUUGAAGUAUGAAAGUAUGAAAGUAUGAAAGUAUGAAGUAAAUAAAGUAUGAAUGGUGAUGAAACCCUCUAAUAAAAAAUACGAUUAGAUUUUACAA